AACGAACGCUGGCGGCAGGCUUAACACAUGCAAGUCGAACGCCCCGCAAGGGGAGUGGCAGACGGGUGAGUAACGCGUGGGGAUCUACCCAGUUCUACGGAACAACUGAGGGAAACUUCAGCUAAUACCGUAUACGCCCUACGGGGGAAAGAUUUAUCGGAAUUGGAUGAGCCCGCGUUGGAUUAGCUAGUUGGUGAGGUAACGGCUCACCAAGGCGACGAUCCAUAGCUGGUCUGAGAGGAGGAUCAGCCACACUGGGACUGAGACACGGCCCAGACUCCUACGGGAGGCAGCAGUGGUGAAUAUUGGACAAUGGGCGCAAGCUUGAUCCAGCCAUGCCGCGUGAGUGAUGAAGGCCUUAGGGUUGUAAAGCUCUUUCAGUGGGGACGAUAAUGACGGUACCCACAGAAGAAGCCCCGGCUAACUUCGUGCCAGCCGCCGCGGUAAAAC
rnacentral:rRNA from 1 species